rnacentral:rRNA from 1 species
AACGAACGCUGGCGGCAUGCCUAACACAUGCAAGUCGAACGAGACCUUCGGGCCUAGUGGCGCACGGGUGCGUAACGCGUGGGAACUUGCACUUAGGUUAGGAAUAACUCCCUGUAAGGGGUGUUAAUACCGGUUAAUGUCUUCGCAGCUAAGAUUUCUCGCUUUUGGAUGGGCGCUCGUUGGUUUGGCCAGUUGGUAGUGUAAAAGCCUACCAACGCGAGGAUCCAUGGCUGGUCUGGGAGCAUGAUCAGCCACAAUGGGACUGCGACACGGCCCAGACUCCUACGGGAGGCAGCGGUGGGGAGUAUAGGACGAGGGGCGAAGACCUGAUCCAGCAGUGCCGGGUGAGUGAUGAAGGCCGUAGGGUUGUAAAGCUCUUUGACACGAGGUGAUAAUGACAGUACCGGGAAAAUAAGCACCGGCUAACUCCGUG